rnacentral:rRNA from 1 species
CUCAGAUUGACGCUGGCGGCAGGCCUAACACAUGCAAGUCGAGCGGCAGCGGGAAAGUAGCUUGCUACUUUUGCCGGCGAGCGGCGGACGGGUGAGUAAUGCCUGGGGAUCUGCCCAGUCGAGGGGGAUAACAGUUGGAAACGACUGCUAAUACCGCAUACGCCCUACGGGGGAAAGGAGGGGACCUUCGGGCCUUUCGCGAUUGGAUGAACCCAGGUGGGAUUAGCUAGUUGGUGGGGUAAUGGCUCACCAAGGCGACGAUCCCUAGCUGGUCUGAGAGGAUGAUCAGCCACACUGGAACUGAGACACGGUCCAGACUCCUACGGGAGGCAGCAGUGGGGAAUAUUGCACAAUGGGGGAAACCCUGAUGCAGCCAUGCCGCGUGUGUGAAGAAGGCCUUCGGGUUGUAAAGCACUUUCAGCGAGGAGGAAAGGUUGGCGCCUAAUACGUGUCAACUGUGACGUUACUCGCAGAAGAAGCACCGGCUAACUCCGUGCCAGCCGCCGCGGUAAUU